rnacentral:rRNA from 1 species
UACGGAGGGGGGCUAGCGUUGUUCGGAAUUACUGGGCGUAAAGCGCACGUAGGCGGCUUUGUAAGUUAGAGGUGAAAGCCCCGGGGCUCAACUCCGGAAUUGCCUUUAAGACUGCAUCGCUAGUAAUUGUGGAGAGGUAAGUGGAAUUCCGAGUGUAGAGGUGAAAUUCGUAGAUAUUCGGAAGAACACCGGUGGCGAAGGCGGGUCUCUGGGCCGAUACUGACGCUGAGGAGCGAAAGCGUGGGGAGCGAACAGG